UUUAAACACACUUACCGCGAAAGAAACUUUGUUUCCGAACAAUCAAUAAACUGUAACAACGUAAAUGAUCAAGUAAUCGAAUUCGGAAAAAGAGUUAAAAGUAUUCCAUUGCAAACAUUUUUAGCGUGAUCUUUGGAAAAUCAAUUAAAGAAUUUAUUUAACAGAUUCAUGCUUCGUUGAUUGUAACACGAAAGCGUUGCCAAUUAAUUAACUACCGAGAGAAAUAGUUGUCUUGCACUUUCUAUUCGCAAACUUAUAUUGCAUGAUUUUCGGUUUCAUUCUUUUGCAUAUGAUUUCGCCGGAAAUCUGCUUUUGAAAUUUAUAAAAUAUUACAAUGUUAAGGAGAAAUUUUAUGCUUUUUUUAAUUUAGAUAUU